GACACAGGGAGGUAGUGACAAGAAAUAACAAUACGGGGCUUAAAGUCUUGUAAUUGGAAUGAUGGGAAUUUAAACCUCUUCCAGAGUAUCAAUUGGAGGGCAAGUCUGGUGCCAGCAGCCGCGGUAAUUCCAGCUCCAAUAGCGUAUAUUAAAAUUGUUGCAGUUAAAAAGCUCGUAGUUGAAUUUCUGCUGCAUUGCUUGUGUCCCUCCGGGGUCUGUGCAUGUGGCUUUUUUCGGACGGAGUUUCUUUGUCUGAAUGUUUACUUUGAGAAAAUUAGAGUGCUCAAAGCAGGCUUUUGCCUUGAAUAGUUUAGCAUGGAAUAAUAAAGUAGGACUUUGGUUCUAUUUUGUUGGUUUUAGGUACCAAAGUAAUGGUUAAUAGGAACAGUUGGGGGCAUUCGUAUUUAACUGUCAGAGGUGAAAUUCUUAG
rnacentral:rRNA from 1 species